rnacentral:sRNA from 1 species
GCAGUGAGUGAUCUCAACUGGUUGUUCACAGUCAGUUAUAGAUCAAACUCCUUGUUCUACUCUUUCCCCCUUCUCACUACUGCA